GCAUUUUAUCAGCACGUGAGAAGUUACCAGAGACCUGGAAGACCCUUGUUCUCUGGUUUCUUGGAGAUUCUGUGAGCUAUCACUAUUCCGUCAGAUAUAUUCCUUUGAAUAUGUCAGACAAAACGAAGAAGAAGCAGAAGAAGAAGGGGAAGAAAGAAAAGAAUAGAAUAGAAGAAGAUGAAAGAAACCUUCCUGUAAAGGACGGAGACUUAGGAUGUGGACAUCUGAAAGUAGCAUCAUGUAGAAAAUUCAAGAUGAGACUGGUGGACUGAAAUUCCGCCCAUUAAUUUGGUCCUGAGAAUGCAGAGGCUGCUUUGGAAAACCAAAGCUCUAUUACUAAUCCAGGAGAUUUUAUGCUCUGUUUGACUGUUAAAGUUAAGGCUGGCACAACAGGUGCCUUCCAUUUUGAUGCUUUCUGAACCCCCACUUUCAGACAAACAAGAAGAAACCAAAGGAAUUAAUCAUUUCCUCGGUUCAAUUU